UGCAAGUGUUUCUGUUGCGGGUUGCAACUUAAGUUGAUGCUUCUUGUUUAUGUAGCCACUGCAUGUGGGGUCCUCCUGUGACAAAGGAGAUAACACCAUCAACGUCCACUUGUACAGAAGGAAAUCUGUACUCCACCAUAUGCCGUCCUUCAUUCAUGUUUUGUCGUGAGGUCCAGGAUGAACAAGUUGGGAGAAGCAUUGGAGCUAGUUAUACUGUGAUAGCUGUGUUACCUGAUGUGAACAUUCUUUUAUUGUAAACCUGAUGUGAACCAUGUUUGAUUGUAAUAAUGUGCCAAGUUUGGCUC